rnacentral:lncRNA from 1 species
GGGCAUAGUCUAUACGGUGCCGUUUUAGGGCCACUGAAACAGGCCUAAACGAUGUCGUUUUAAUCCAUAUAAAAACCCCAUUUUAAAACCCUAAAAAUCAUUUUCCUUCUGCCUUUUGAAGUCGCGCCGUUGCCAUCUCCCUUCCACCAUUUCAGACCCAUUUCCGACCGGCCACAACGACGACGACGGCGCCUCGACGGUAAGUUCCCUUUUUCCUUUUCCCUUUCCCUUUCGUUUUUAUUUUUAUUUUUAAGAAUCAAAGGAAAAACCCAAAAUAAAAUAAAAAAACAGUAAAAAGAACAGAAAAAUUAGAACAAAACCGAUCACCUUUCCAAAAUUGUUUUUUUUUUCUUGAUUUCGUAUUUUUUAAUACUCUUCAAUACAAUAUUUGUCUCUUUUUUUUACCCCCCUUUUUUACACUGAUUCCCCCUUUUUAUUUGCUGCUGUUUGUGGUUUUGCUGCAGGUGGAACGCGCUGAAGUGCGGGGCAAUGUGCACAACGCACGGAGCGACGUGCGCGACGUGCAGGGGGCUACUGCGGGUUAGGCGACGUGGCGAUGGUGGUUCUGGGGCUGUCUGCUGCUUAAGGGGUUUUUUUAGUGCUUUGGGCUAGUGGGUUAGGGUUUGUAAUGGGCUUUAGGUUUAGUUGGACCCAGGCCAAAAAUUGGGUAUUACAAUUGUACUUUUAAAUAUUUUAAUAAAAUAUUCAGGUGAUAUUUUUAAAUUAAUUAAUUAAGGAUUUUUUUAGGAUUCUGUUAAUAUUUAAUAGUAGGAUAUUAUUUUUUUAUUCGAGUAAAUUCAUAAAGUUUAUUUAUUGAUAAAAG